ACCCGCUGAAUUUAAGCAUAUAAGUAAGUGGUGGAAAUUAAACCAAAUGGGAUUCCUUAAGUAAUUGCGAAUGAACAAGGACAUGCUUAGCUUGACAAUUGGAGCCUCUGGCUUCGACUUGUAUUUUUGAAAUGUAUUACCAACAGAGGUGCAGGUGUCAGCCUAUUGAAAGAAAGCGUCAAUGAGGGUGAGAAUCCUGUUUGUCAUGUGCAAUCCUCUGUGCACGGUGUAUGUUUGCUGAGUCACACUCCUUGGCAUUGGAAUGCAAAGUGGGUGGUAAGUUUCAUGUAAAGGUAAAUAUAGGAUUGAGACUGAUAGCACACAAGUACCAUGAGGGAAAUAUGAAAAGGACUUUGAAAAGAGAAUUAAAUGAGUUUGUAUUUGCUGAACAGAAAAUAAACAGAUUUGAUGUUGCUUGGUGAGAUUGUGGUGCUUGCUUGACAAUAGGUUUUGAUUGUGGGUGCGAUGAUUCUUGCUUUGCUUGCCAGUUUCUAUUUGUACAUUUGAUUACCCUUGCACAUGAAUGGUAAUUUUCCUGCGGGGUUUGGAUUGCAUGUGUUUGUGAUGAUUUGUGUUUUGAUGCAUGUGUCUGGUGCUUUUGUAAUUGCUCAUUUCUUGAAGCUGGGCCUACCCUACUAGAGCUUACAAGCCCUGGCACACAAUUGCUGGCAAAAUGCUUCUGCUUGACCCGUCUUGAAACACGGACCAAGG
rnacentral:rRNA from 1 species